UGGAGAGUUUGAUCCUGGCUCAGAUUGAACGCUGGCGGCAGGCUUAACACAUGCAAGUCGAGCGGAAACGAUCCUAGCUUGCUAGGAGGCGUCGAGCGGCGGACGGGUGAGUAAUGCAUGGGAAUCUGCCCGAUAGUGGGGGACAACCUGGGGAAACUCAGGCUAAUACCGCAUACGUCCUACGGGAGAAAGCAGGGGAUCUUCGGACCUUGCGCUAUCGGAUGAGCCCAUGUCGGAUUAGCUUGUUGGUGAGGUAAUGGCUCACCAAGGCGACGAUCCGUAGCUGGUCUGAGAGGAUGAUCAGCCACACUGGGACUGAGACACGGCCCAGACUCCUACGGGAGGCAGCAGUGGGGAAUAUUGGACAAUGGGCGAAAGCCUGAUCCAGCCAUGCCGCGUGUGUGAAGAAGGCCUUCGGGUUGUAAAGCACUUUCAGCGAGGAAGAACGCCUUGGGAYUAAUACUCCCGAGGAAAGACAUCACUCGCAGAAGAAGCACCGGCUAACUCCGUGCCAGCAGCCGCGGUA
rnacentral:rRNA from 1 species